rnacentral:rRNA from 1 species
CACUCUAUUUGAUUUUCUUCGGAAAUGAAGAUUUUGUGACUGAGUGGCGGACGGGUGAGUAACGCGUGGGUAACCUGCCUCAUACAGGGGGAUAACAGUUGGAAACGACUGCUAAUACCGCAUAAGCGCACAGGAUCGCAUGGUUCGGUGUGAAAAACUCCGGUGGUAUGGGAUGGACCCGCGUCUGAUUAGCCAGUUGGCAGGGUAACGGCCUACCAAAGCGACGAUCAGUAGCCGACCUGAGAGGGUGACCGGCCACAUUGGGACUGAGACACGGCCCAAACUCCUACGGGAGGCAGCAGUGGGGAAUAUUGCACAAUGGGGGAAACCCUGAUGCAGCGACGCCGCGUGAGCGAAGAAGUAUUUCGGUAUGUAAAGCUCUAUCAGCAGGGAAGAAGAAUGACGGUACCUGACUAAGAAGCACCGGCUAAAUACGUGCCAGCAGCCGCGAUAAUACGUAUGGUGCAAGCGUUAUCCGGAUUUACUGGGUGUAAAGGGAGCGCAGGCGGUGCGGCAAGUCUGAUGUGAAAGCCCGGGGCUCAACCCCGGUACUGCAUUGGAAACUGUCGUACUAGAGUGUCGGAGGGGUAAGUGGAAUUCCUAGUGUAGCGGUGAAAUGCGUAGAUAUUAGGAGGAACACCAGUGGCGAAGGCGGCUUACUGGACGAUAACUGACGCUGA